ensembl:lncRNA
AUCUGCUGUUCAGGCUGACUCAUCUAGUCUGGAGGAGGGGCUAUCUUCAUUUCUAAUUGAGGCUGUGGAGUCCAGGGACGAGACCUGACUGACUUGUCUCAGAGAUACUUCCUGAACAGUCUUUCUCUCACCGUGGACCAAAGGUUUGGCCAGAGCUAUGUAGCUGUCAAGCUCUAGAGAAAAUGAGGGGCGUAUUUCUAAAAGGGCAGAGGAGGCAGACAGGCGGAUGAAAAUAUCAAACGGUUCCAGCGUGCACUGAAGGAUCAGAUGUGUGGAGAGCAGAGGCCAGGGGACUGACUGCAGGGGGAUUGCCAGCUCCUCUGAGAAGCCUUUCCCAGAGGCCUGCUUUGGCUCCUGACGUCCUUGUUCGUGUUCUCUGUAGCCGAUGGCAUGUAUAUUACCUAAUCACAGCAGCUUUGAAGGUGAAAGUUCCUCUGGUUCAUCCUGUUUCCUUCCUUCCGGUUGUGAACAUGGACUUACUGUUUGGAUGAAGAAAUGAAGAAACGGGAGAAAUACAGACAUAGAGAAGGAAGGUCAGAGGAUCACAGAAUCUACAGGCUGAGCAUACACUCUACUCCAGCUUCUCAGCUCUCGUCAUCUGCACAGAAAUACAUCACUAAGUCAUUUAUGCUCAUCUUCCUUCUGAAAACGAAACACUAAGCUGUGGAUCAUGGCUGCUUCUCUAGCCUGGACCCUCCAUUGGAUUUCAAGCUGAUGGGG